AUAUGUGUAUAUAUAUAUAUAUAUAUAUAUAUAUAUAUAUAUAUAUAUAUAUAUAUAUAUAAUAGUAUAUGAGGGAUUUGAAGAGGGUACACUCCACCAGAUCAUGUCAAAUUGUAGGAAUUCUCAUAACAUUUUGUUCCCUUUUUUUAAAUUACUGUAAUACGAACAUUCACACCAUAAAGGGAUAUAGCAGUUUUUCAUACAAUGUAACCACAUGCUACUUUCUACCUAAAAUAUACAGUCAGUGGUUAUUAAGCCUGCUGACUGAAUGCGUGCCUCUAUCUGUACUUUCCAUUUCACACCGUUCACUCGUAGGAAAACCAAUUUUGUGAUGUCAUUUGAAGCUGUGCUGUUCCAGGUACAGUCGAAGAAACCCGUUAAUAUCUUCCAACAAUGUUUCACACUGAAGAGUCUAUAGAGACACUGUUGGAGAGUCUGUAAAGUCAGCAGUUUGAUGUUGCAGAAGUAUAGUAUUUUUAAUGGUAUAUUUUGCUCUUUUUCCUUCAGGAAGAUCUAUUUUGUAGUUGUUUUGUGCUGUAUAGUGUAUGUUUUUUGCUCUAUGUACUGUUCGGUCCUUAUUUUUUUCACUCAGAGGAUGGAUUCUCCAAAAAGUACAUCUUCAACGUGUAGGAAGAGUUUUUCCUUUUUUAUUUUGCCUCUCGUCUGUGUGUCCAUUCGAUAUGUUUUCCUUCACCAGCUCUGAAGUCAGAAAAAAUCAAGUCGCUCAAAACUCCGAACUAUAAAGUGUAACAAUCUUAGCUAAUUGCAUUUAAAACUUACUGCAUCCUCAAAACAGGCUGCCUGACACUUGGUAAAGCAGGAUCUAUUUUCUGUACCAAGGGACCAACACAUGUACAGUCUCGUAGUUUGCUCUACUUUCCACUUGCUACUGUGUUAGCCUACUGUAUGAAUAUCUAACAGGAAUUUAUACCAACCAUAAGAAGCAUAGCUAUAUUCACGACAUGUAAAGACUUCUAAACAUGGUGUUUUGUAACGGUUACUAUGAAACAGAUUCUAUGUUGUUUGUUUGAUGCUUUGUUUCCUUGUUUAGUCUGAAUCACCAUAUAAUGACUGAUCUCAAACUGUUUUAGUGACUGAGGUUAGAUGGAUGUAAAGCGAGUGUGAGUGAGUGAGUGUCUGUGUGUGUGUGUCUGUGUGUGAAACCACAAAAAUCAAUGUGCAUUUCUGAUCUCCUCACUGUGAUCUGCUCUGUCUGUGAGAGUGCGAUGAGGUGACUGUGAGAAAGAAUCAAAAAGUGAUGCAGUGGAGCAUAUAAAGCUGGGUGAACAAUUAAUUUUAGAUCCAGCUGUAUGUUUUAAAUACCCCAUCAGGCUGAUAUGUCUGCUCAUAUAAAACAGCAGCAGACAUAUUAUGUGGGUAAAACUUUAAAAAAAAAAAAAAGAAACAGUGAGGUGGACAAGCAAAUUAAUAGCCGCCUUAUUUUACCUUCCACUAUAUCCCUGAAUAGACAGAAUGACUGAGAGUGAGAGUGUGUGUGUGCGUGUGUGUGCCUGUGUGUGCAUGUAUGUGCAUGCGUGUGUGUGCGUGUGUGUGCGUGUGUGUGUGUGUGUGUGCAUGUGUGCGUGUGUGUGCAUGCGUGUGUGUGUGUGUGUGUGUGUGUCACUGUCCCGUGCCGGCCAGGCGGCCGUGUGUGCCACCAUGCUCUGUGACUGCACAGCCGUAUCAAUAAAUCUGGAUUCAAAGGGCUCAGAUCAUGUC
ensembl:lncRNA